UACGUAGGGUGCGAGCGUUAAUCGGAAUUACUGGGCGUAAAGCGUGCGUAGACGGUCUUGUAAGUCGGGUGUGAAAGCCCCGGGCUCAACCUGGGAAUUGCAUUCGAGACUGCAAGGCUUGGGUGCGGAAGAGGGAAGCGGAAUUUCCGGUGUAGCGGUGAAAUGCGUAGAUAUCGGAAGGAACAUCAGUGGCGAAAGCGGCUUCCUGGUCCAGCACCGACGUUCAGGCACGAAAGCGUGGGGAG
rnacentral:rRNA from 1 species